AUUGAACGCUGGCGGCAGGCUUAACACAUGCAAGUCGAGCGGAGAUGAGGUGCUUGCACCUUAUCUUAGCGGCGGACGGGUGAGUAAUGCUUAGGAAUCUGCCUAUUAGUGGGGGACAACAUUCCGAAAGGAAUGCUAAUACCGCAUACGCCAUACGGGGGAAAGCAGGGGAUCUUCGGACCUUGCGCUAAUAGAUGAGCCUAAGUCGGAUUAGCUAGUUGGUGGGGUAAAGGCCUACCAAGGCGACGAUCUGUAGCGGGUCUGAGAGGAUGAUCCGCCACACUGGGACUGAGACACGGCCCAGACUCCUACGGGAGGCAGCAGUGGGGAAUAUUGGACAAUGGGCGGAAGCCUGAUCCAGCCAUGCCGCGUGUGUGAAGAAGGCCUUUUGGUUGUAAAGCACUUUAAGCGAGGAGGAGGCUAUCUGGAUUAAUACUCUAGGAUAGUGGACGUUACUCGCAGAAUAAGCACCGGCUAACUCUGUGCCAGCCGCCGCGGUAACAC
rnacentral:rRNA from 1 species